rnacentral:rRNA from 1 species
UCGAGAAUAGUCUACAAUGGUCGAAAGACUGAUAGUGCGACGCCGCGUGAACGAAGAAUCCCUUCGGGGUGUAAAGUUCUUUUUUAAUCGAGCAAUGCCUUUUAUGUGAUAAGCAUGAGAGGAGAGAUAUUAGGUUAAGAAUAAGCAACGGCUAACUCCGUGCCAGCAGCCGCGGUAACACGGGGGUUGCAAGCGCUGUCCGGAAUUACUAGGCGUAAAGGGCAGGUAGGCGGAUAUAUAAGUUUGGUGUUAAAGGCAUCGGCUUAACCGGUGUAAGGCAUAGGAGACUGUAUAUCUGGAAUGCGGUUGAGGAAGACAGAAUUCCUGGUGUAGCGGUGGAAUGCGCAGAUAUCAGGAGGAACACCGGUGGCGAAGGCGACGCUCUGGUCCGCAACUGACGCUCAUGCACGAAAGCCAGGGGAGCGAACG